rnacentral:tRNA from 1 species
GCCCCUGUAGCUCAACGGACAGAGCAUCGCCCUCCGACGGCGAAGGCUGGCGGUUCGAGUCCGCCUGGGGGCACCC